rnacentral:misc_RNA from 1 species
GAUGAAGAACGUAGCGAAAUGCGAUAAGUAGUGUGAAUUGCAGAAUUCCGUGAAUCAUCGAAUCUUUGAACGCACAUUGCGCCUUCUGGUAUUCCGGAAGGCAUGCCUGUUCGAGAGUCAUUAACAACCGUUUCGAUCCCUUUCUUUCAGAAAUUACAAAGAGGAAAAGGGUUUGGUUAUGGUGGAGGAGGGAAAGGGAGCGUUUAGCCUGUAAAAAAAGAGGCUGUGUUCCGCCUCCCCCCCAAAAUUGUACAGGCGGUCGUGUGCGCCCACGCAUCGAGGUGUUGUGAAAGCUGCCACGGCACUUUUCACCUGUGCAGUGCGAGAUUGGCCAGCCGGUUUAAAAACCCCUCCAAACAAUCAAAGGUUGACCUCGGAUCAGGUAGGGAUACCCGCUGAACUUAAGCAUAUCAAUAAGCGGAGGA